GCUGGGCACUCUCCUCCCACAGCUCCCUGUCCCGCUGGGCACUCUCCUCCCACAGCUCCCUGUCCCGCUGGGCACUCUCCUCCCACAGCUCCCUGUCCCGCUGGGCACUCUCCUCCCACAGCUCCCUGUCCCGCUGGGCACUCUCCUCCCACAGCUCCCUGUCCCGCUGGGCACUCUCCUCCCACAGCUCCCUGUCCCGCUGGGCACUCUCCUCCCACAGCUCCUGACCCACCCCGUCUGCCUGGCUCUGCAGCCACACAGCCUGCACAUCACUCUCCCUCACCUGCACAUAGACACACAGUCCCAGUCAGUUAUAUCACCAAAUAGACAUCUUCAGUCAUUCAUAUCAGUCAGGAGACAUCUAGUAACACAACUCACAAACACUCAGAACACACACAUUAACGGUCAAGGACAUAGUACAGACACUCAUGUAAACACGUCCGACGCUCGUCAUCACAGUGACUGCUGUGGCACAGAGCAGACUGUCCCUCCUGUCACAGCUAGUUCCCAGGAUGUUAAAACAACACAUCUAUAACAGCCCUAGUGAGUUUCCACUAAAACCCANNNNNNNNNNCAGCAUACUAGCACAAUCCAGCCCUGCUGUAGUCCAGCAUACUAGCACAAUCCAGCCCUGCUGUAGUCCAGCAUACUAGCACAAUCCAUCCCUGCUGUAGUCCAGCAUACUAGCACAAUCCAGCCUUGCUGUAGCCCAGCAUUGCCCUAGCACCUUUUUUUGCACUAUUGGUUAGAGCCUGUAAGUAAGCAUUUCACUGUAAGGUCUACUACACCUGUUGUAUUCUGCGCACGUGACAAAUAAACUUUGAUUUGAUUUGAUACUAGCACCAUCCAGCCCUGUAACCCAGUUCACAGUAAAACACUCCAGACUAGCGAUCCCAACACAAUAACCAAACAAGUGUGCUUGUUCUGGCCCAAAUCAAAGAGUGUAUGUUUAUUUUCAAAAGACACAACACAAAUCCCAGCCUGUCCUUUCCCUGGCUAAUGCUUAUUGAUUAUAGGUCUCUAAGGAUACAGAUUAACAGCUGGAACCACCCUAGAGUCAUACUCCCUAACCUCUAGACCUCUGUUCAUGGACCACCCUAUCCUAACCCAGCCCUGCUACUCUUGGCUCGCUCCAAUAGAAAGAAAAAAAACUGUAUGGAUUUAUGGGUCCGCCAGGCUGGCCUGUGAGGUGUUUUAUAGUGGGACCUGCAGGGCCUAUUUAGGAGGCGUAGCACAGCAAAGCACGGCGUGCUCCGUCCUGACCACAGGUAUUGAUCUGCAGCGAUGGCCUGGUUGCGGCCGCAUGGCUAACUUAGAGCCCUGAUCUCAGCCUCAGCCUGCCUGGCCGCGAGAUGAAAACCAGGCCUCUGUGUGUAAUGAUGUGUGUAUGAACAAAGUGAGUAGGCCACUGAGACAAAAAGGAGACGAAAUUAAAUCAUUCUUUUUCCUCUUUCAGGAUAGCCACUGCAGCCAGCCAUGCUUGGCCGCUUGAUGGGAGAUCUUUUUUUUCAGAGGAGAUGAAUGGUAGGAUCUGGAGGAGGUAAAUGAGAGCAUCCUGAUGCAGAGAGAUGUGUGGAUGUCCCUAAUGGGGCCCUGCUCUGACGAGCUGUGUGCUGCCUCUGUCUGUCUGGGAACCUGGCAGACGGACGGACGUGGUUAGGGCGGAGGCCCAGCGCCUGCCCGCCUGCUCCCUACCAGGGCUCUCCGAGCGUCACGUCGGGCACGCUCCGCGCUAAUUGACGGAGGUCGACAGCGCAUAACAAGUAGAGGAGGCAUCGGCUUUCAUUUGAGAGGAGAAGAAAGGGUGGAGAAAAUGCAUCUAAUCAUGUGAAGUGUUUUGCUGUCUGAGAGAGAGCUAGGGGCUCUCUCUCCCCUGGUGGACCAUGCCCAGCAUCACCAACCACCCACCCCCCAGCCCCUGGCCUGGCUAACAGCUCUGACCACACAGAGGUAUGGAUUACCCAGAACCGUACUGCUACGUUACUGUAUCUUACUGCUCACAUAGGACCAGAGAGCUACAUAAACAAGAGAGCAGUCUAGUGGAACAGGAGCCCCCACAGAAAACACAUGGACACACAGUCAUGACAGGAAAGAUAGGAGAAAUGCUGAUAGGAGAAACAGACAGACACAUAGACACACAGACAGCAAGGCAUACAGACAGAAAGACAAAUGGAAGCACAGACAACCACACAGACAGACAUCAAGGCUGCAAAUGAAACCGAGGUGGUGUGUGGAGAGGGGAGGUGGGAGGGAGGGGUGAAGGGGUGUGCCUGAAAGUGCCCUUGUCAGGCUGGACCCCCCCCACCUCUACCUCUCCCCCACCAGAGCACUGCUCCCUGAGCCAGGGUCAUUGACACAGACCUCUGACAUCAUUAAGACGUUUCCAGCAAAAUGUAUUGAAAGACAGAUUAAAAUAAAUUAAGAAAAAUGUGUAGCAGAAUGCCUACGCGCACUUCAUAAAUCAUUGGGCCAGGCCAGGAGCCGGCUCCCCAUGAUUAACUGUAGACUAUUUAUUUUAUCCUGACGGUAUAAAUUAGUAUUCAGACACAUAGAUUAUAUUAGGGAUAUCUGCGAUGCGGAACUGCUGCGGGAUGUGCAGAAUAUUUU
rnacentral:lncRNA from 13 species